UACGUAGGGUGCGAGCGUUGUCCGGAAUUACUGGGCGUAAAGAGCUCGUAGGUGGUUUGUCGCGUUGUCCGUGAAAACUCACAACUCAAUUGUGGGCGUGCGGGCGAUACGGGCAGACUGGAGUACUGCAGGGGAGACUGGAAUUCCUGGUGUAGCGGUGGAAUGCGCAGAUAUCAGGAGGAACACCGGUGGCGAAGGCGGUUCUCUGGGCAUGACCUGACGCUGAGGAGCGAAAGUGUGGGGAGGCGAACAGG
rnacentral:rRNA from 1 species